GCUAAAUCAUUGCCCAAUUUUAUUGCCAGGUAAUGUCCGAACUUGAAAGUCCAAUCCAUGUACAAUUUGGUAAAAUCUUAUAUGGAAAGACAGGAAUAAUUUGUGAGAGUGUUAAUACGGAAUUUAAGGAGUUGGUAUUGAUGUGUGGAGGACCCAAUGAGAAACUCAGCUGAGAAGCUAACAAAUUGCCUCAGAAUUAUUCCUGAUACACCUUCAGAACGCAUGAUGAGCCUCCCAACCACAAGGAAGCUGGCAUUGAAAAAUAAAAUUGUCUUUGGCACUGGUGAUCAUUGGCAUGCUCCCACUUUAACUGCAAAUAUGGCAUUUGUCAGAGCAGUUUCACGAACAGGGAUGUCACUUUAUACUAUUGAGCAUAGACCAAGGGCCUUAACUGGUGACUAGUUUCAUGAAUUUUUGACAAGUUUUGAGGCAUUCAUUCUCACAUAGAAAAUCAGUUCCAACCUCUCAAGUUUGAUGUCUAUUGGGGGGACUUAAAUGGAAUGUCUCCUGUCUGCUGAUGUAACCAGCAGUGGGAUCUUCAAGGUGCUUGCAGACUGUACUUGUCAUGUGAAGGGCACAUUAACCACUGUAUUGCUCUGAUGAUCUUGGAAAAACUGUGGCAUAGACCUUUCACAUAGUCCAGUGUUUUUGUAUCAUUCUUGGUCCUUUCUCACUGUAAAUAUUUGUAUCUGAGUUGUAUGCUUUGGACUUCACAAUAAACUCUGCAUUGUCAUGUGAAAAGUUAGUCUAAGAUUACUUAUCCUGUGCUGUCAGUUCAGAAGUUGGGAAGAUUUGACUGAAGAUUAGGUAAUGGAUUCAACAAGGAGAAAGUGCACUUGCAAAAGCAACCUCUUUAAGUGUAUUGGCAUAGAUUUUUAGUAAUGGAGGAUGAUAUGAACUCAUACCGUGCUCCUUGGGAACUACCAAGGGAGCUGUUGGUGGUCAUGGAAUCAAGGUGCUUCCACCUCUACACUGGGGAUCCUAUCUUUGAUUAUCUAUCAUAAAUAUCAAAAAGGGUGUUUUUAUAGUUUCAUCUUUUUGUGAUUACAACCUUUAGCUCAGUUCAUUUGAAUAAUGGA